UGGCGGAUGGGUGAGUAACGCGUAGGAACCUACCCCGGCGUGGGGGAUACCCGCCAGAAAUGGCGGCUAAUACCGCGUACGGUUCUCCGGCGAGGGGCUGGGGAAAGAAAGCAGCGAUGCGCGCUGGGAGGGGUCUGCGGCCGAUUAGCUUGUUGGCGGGGUAACGGCCCACCAAGGCGAUGAUCGGUAGCUGGUCUGAGAGGAUGAUCAGCCACACGGGGACUGAGACACGGCCCCG
rnacentral:rRNA from 1 species